CCUUGUCCUUCCACUGAUAAUAACCAGGAUGUUUAUUUACAAGAUUCUUAUCAUUACUUCAAACCAACGGACACUAGCCUAUGUUCCCAAAAUGUAAACAAAAACAAAAAAAAAAAAGAAAAUCAACUGAAAUUUAUUUUGUAAAUUAGGGCGCCAAUAUAAAUUGAAUUGAUAAGAAAGUGCUAACUACAAUAAACGCAUUGGAAAGCUAUUUCGGAUAAAAUACAUCGGUUUUAGCGGACAUUAUUUAUGCAGAAUUACAGAAAAUCGUUAUUUGUUCUGGUCGUUUCUGAGCAUGGAUAUUUUUUCGGAAGAGUUCGCAUGCUAGUUCCCACAUACUGGAUUCAGAUUCAUUGGUAAUGGAGGCCUUGUGUACUAUGCAAUACAAAGAAAACUACAUUCAUGUGUCAACAUUUACUGUUAUUAACAGGGAUAUACACAGACCAUUGUGGAUUAUAAAUAAAAGUUGGAUCUUUAAAAGUGACCACGUUACCUAACUGGAAUAGUGUUUUCAAGUAGAUUAUUUUCGUAUUACUUUGAAUAUUACAAAUAUAUGGACAUUUGUUUUCAUAAUGUGAAAUGAUAACGUUUCUCGAAAAUGUAAGGUCAGAAACAUUCAAUAAUUACAUUCUAACCAUAUCAAGUUGUGUAAGAUGUGCAAACAGUGACAAAAAAAAUAACCAUGAUGGAAUAUAUUGAAAAUCUUGUAAUCUUUCACAAUUUGUAAUUAUUUCUAUGAUGACUAAUGGCAAUACAUGCAAACAACAUUUACUCACGCUAAAGCUGUGAGUAAAUUAAUUAUUCUCUAAUCUCAAUUACCUUCAACAAGACAAAAAAGAAACAAUAAAGUAGGAAUAAGGUAUAUAAUUGGCAGCAUAUAAGUGUACAAUUGUUCGCGAAGUAAAUUCGUAUUUCAACAAUCGAUUUAAUCAUGGUUCUUCGUAAGGUUCCAAGCGAUCUAGUAUCCGGGUAAAUUUGAACUGAAACGAGACUAAAAGUAAAUUUAAUCAUAUUGUUAAGAUAAAUGUUUCAAGUUUGCGUAAGGCGUGAAUAAUUAAUAAAAUCUCUAAUUUUAUCUGGUGUUUAAGAUUUUAUUAGAAAAGACAUCACCAGAACCAAACAGAUACAACCAAAAUUGUAGCUUUACAACUAACAGUCGGAGUGAUUUACUUAGAAAAAACAACCACACAUUAUAUAUGUUCAAAACUUAACAUAACCUGCGUAGAAUAGUAAACAUAAACCAUAAACAACAUUUAUUUUAUAAUAAAAUAAACUAAUAUUCUAGACAAGCGAUUUUCAUGUCAGUUUGUUUCGUUGAAGCAAGCUAUAACUAAAAUACAAGCACAACAUACAUCAUGGGAGGGAGG